GCCUCCUCCAACACUACAGCCCAGGCCUCACCACACAAACACCAGGGGUUUUUGUUCCACAGUGCCUGGCCAAACUCCACAACUCAGGAAACGUAUCUGUAAAUAAUAUCAGCAGUGACUACAGGAAGGCCGUCCAGGACCUGGUGUACUCGGGGAUCUACGACCAGCGGGAGGAUUACACCGUGGUCCUGCAACCCUUCCUCCGGAACUUGCAGCUCCCUCUCAACGCCG